rnacentral:rRNA from 1 species
GUAGGUCACAAGCGUUGUCCGGAAUUACUGGGUGUAAAGGGAGCGCAGGCGGGAGAACAAGUUGGAAGUGAAAUCCAUGGGCUCAACCCAUGAACUGCUUUCAAAACUGUUUUCUUGAGUAGUGCAGAGGUAGGCGGAAUUCCCGGUGUAGCGGUGGAAUGCGUAGAUAUCGGGAGGAACACCAGUGGCGAAGGCGGCCUACUGGGCACCAACUGACGCUGAGGCUCGAAAGUGUGGGUAGCAAACAGGAUUAGAUACCCUGGUAGUCCACACCGUAAACGAUGAUUACUAGGUGUUGGAGGAUUGACCCCUUCAGUGCCGCAGUUAACACAAUAAGUAAUCCACCUGGGGAGUACGACCGCAAGGUUGAAACUCAAAGGAAUUGACGGGGGCCCGCACAAGCAGUGGAGUAUGUGGUUUAAUUCGACGCAACGCGAAGAACCUUACCAAGUCUUGACAUCCCUUGACGAUGCUGGAAACAGCAUUUCUCUUCGGAGCAAGGAGACAGGUGGUGCAUGGUU